UUAGUGUUCCCAAACUAGCCCUUAGGUUUUUUUUUUUGGACCCAGCUUGUAUUCAAGUACUUACACUUUCUGGAUGGUUGAUGGAUUCAAAUUUUCCUGCUGCGAUCUCAAACAAAUUAAUAUGAUGAAUGCUCAUAGUAACUUGUGCAGAUGAGAGACCUCCCAUUCUCACUGCUGAACUGAUCGUGUUGGUACUACAAUGCUGGAGAGGUGGUAUCUCUGCUAGUCUGGAACGGCCUAAGCUAUGUUUGUACAUUUGUAACAAUAAUUCGCCAUCAUUCGUGUAGUUGAUCACUUAAUCUGGUGAUCCAUCUGUCGAGGCAUCUUCAGUGUCGAUUUGAAAGGCGGAGAGAAGGGAUGUGAUAGAAACUGCAAGGCACUUGACUACUUGAGGAGCGGGUUGGGCUUCAGAGUACUGACGAGGGAAACUGUCCGAGCCCAAAUCCGAAGACCAGACCACUUUCGGCAGGCAGUGAACUGGAGUACUGGACGCCUUGCAAAUGGCAGUUUCAUGAGAAUCGGCAGGCAGUGAAGUUGUGUUUGCCGAGGGUGUCUUCCCUGUGUGUCGAUGCCUGGUUUUCUGCUUGUGGUUGUGUUCUAAGAUGCCUGACGAUAUCUGUUUUUCUGCGUGAUGCUGAUACAAGAGAUCUGGACAUUAGCCACUCUUUUUUUUUUUUUUUGCAAUGUCCGUUUUUUUGCAUGAUACCUGUAUUUUGUUGCAUCUUUUUGCAUGAUACCUAUAUUUUGUUGCAUCUACAUUACAUAUAAGACUAUCUCCAGCAGUCUUCCA